rnacentral:rRNA from 1 species
UCGGGAAUAUUGCGCAAUGGAGGGAACUCUGACGCAGUGACGCCGCGUAUAGGAAGAAGGUUUUCGGAUUGUAAACUAUUGUCUGCAGGGAAGAAAAAAGACAGUACCUGCAAAGAAAGCUCCGGCUAACUACGUGCCAGCAGCCGCGGUAAUACGUAGGGAGCAAGCGUUAUCCGGAUUUAUUGGGUGUAAAGGGUGCGUAGACGGGAAAUUAAGUUAGUUGUGAAAACCCUCGGCUCAACCGAGGAAGUGCAACUAAAACUGGUUUUCUUGAGUGCAGGAGAGGAAAGUGGAAUUCCUAGUGUAGCGGUGAAAUGCGUAGAUAUUAGGAGGAACACCAGUGGCGAAGGCGACUUUCUGGACUGUAACUGACGUUGAGGCACGAAAGUGUGGGGAGCAAACAGG